AUUGAACGCUGGCGGCAUGCCUUACACAUGCAAGUCGAACGGCAGCACGGGAGCAAUCCUGGUGGCGAGUGGCGAACGGGUGAGUAAUAUAUCGGAACGUGCCCGGUCGUGGGGGAUAACGUAGCGAAAGCUACGCUAAUACCGCAUACGAUCUACGGAUGAAAGCGGGGGAUCGCAAGACCUCGCGCGAUUGGAGCGGCCGAUAUCAGAUUAGGUAGUUGGUGAGGUAAAGGCUCACCAAGCCGACGAUCUGUAGCUGGUCUGAGAGGACGACCAGCCACACUGGGACUGAGACACGGCCCAGACUCCUACGGGAGGCAGCAGUGGGGAAUUUUGGACAAUGGGCGCAAGCCUGAUCCAGCAAUAGCCGCGUGCAGGAUGAAGGCCUCGGUU
rnacentral:rRNA from 1 species